rnacentral:rRNA from 1 species
AUUGAACGCUGCGGCAUGCCUUACACAUGCAAGUCGAACGGUAACAGGUCUUCGGAUGCUGACGAGUGGCGAACGGGUGAGUAAUACAUCGGAACGUGCCUAGUAGUGGGGGAUAACUACUCGAAAGAGUGGCUAAUACCGCAUGAGAUCUAUGGAUGAAAGCAGGGGAUCGCAAGACCUUGUGCUACUAGAGCGGCCGAUGGCAGAUUAGGUAGUUGGUGGGAUAAAAGCUUACCAAGCCGACGAUCUGUAGCUGGUCUGAGAGGACGAUCAGCCACACUGGGACUGAGAAACGGCCCAGACUCCUACGGGAGGCAGCAGUGGGGAAUUUUGGACAAUGGGCGCAAGCCUGAUCCAGCAAUGCCGCGUGCAGGAUGAAGGCCUUCGGGUUGUAAACUGCUUUUGUACGGAACGAAAAGCCCCGGGUUAAUACCCUGGGGUCAUGACGGUACCGUAAGAAUAAGCACCGGCUAACUACGUGCCAGCCGCCGCGGUAA